rnacentral:rRNA from 1 species
GAUGAACGCUGGCGGCGUGCCUAAUACAUGCAAGUCGAGCGAACAGACGAGGAGCUUGCUCCUCUGACGUUAGCGGCGGACGGGUGAGUAACACGUGGAUAACCUACCUAUAAGACUGGGAUAACUUCGGGAAACCGGAGCUAAUACCGGAUAAUAUAUUGAACCGCAUGGUUCAAUAGUGAAAGACGGUUUUGCUGUCACUUAUAGAUGGAUCCGCGCCGCAUUAGCUAGUUGGUAAGGUAACGGCUUACCAAGGCAACGAUGCGUAGCCGACCUGAGAGGGUGAUCGGCCACACUGGAACUGAGACACGGUCCAGACUCCUACGGGAGGCAGCAGUAGGGAAUCUUCCGCAGUGGGCGAAAGCCUGACGGAGCAACGCCCGUGAGUGAUGAAGGUCUUCGGAUCGUAAAACUCUGUUAUUAGGGAAGAACAAAUGUGUAAGUAACUAUGCACGUCUUGACGGUACCUAAUCAGAAAGCCACGGCUAACUACGUG